rnacentral:rRNA from 1 species
GACGAAUGCUGGCUGCGUGCUUAACACAUGCAAGUCGAACGGUGAAGGAGGGCUUGCCCUCCGGAUCAGUGGCGAACGGGUGAGUAACACGUGGGCAACCUGCCCCUCACUCUGGGAUAACGCCGGGAAACCGGCGCUAAUACCGGAUACGACCAGGCGCGACAUCUCGCCUGGUGGAAAGAAUUUCGGUGAGGGAUGGGCCCGCGGCCUAUCAGCUAGUUGGUGGGGUAACGGCCCACCAAGGCGACGACGGGUAGUCGGCCUGAGAGGGCGACCGGCCACACUGGGACUGAGACACGGCACAGACUCCUACGGGAGGCAGAAGUGGGGAAUAUUGCGCGAUGGGCGAAAGCCUGACGCAGCGACGCAGCGUGAGGGACGAAGGCCUUCGGGUUGUAAACCUCUUUCAGCGGGGACGAAGCGAAAGUGACGGUACCCGCAGAAGAAGCACCGGCUAACUACGUGCCAGCCGCCGCAGUAACAC